CGUGUAGGCGGCUUGUCAAGUCCGGUGUGAAAACUCGGUGGCUCAACCCCGAGCCUGCACUGGAAACUGGCUUGCUAGAGUCCGGAAGAGGAGAUUGGAAUUCCUGGUGUAGCGGUGAAAUGCGCAGAUAUCAGGAAGAACACCCGUGGCGAAGGCGGAUCUCUGGGACGGUACUGACGCUGAGACGCGAAAGCGUGGGGAGCAAACAGGAUUAGAUACCCUGGUAGUCCACGCCGUAAACGAUGGGCACUAGGUGUGGGAGGUGUCGACUCCUUCCGUGCCGUAGCUAACGCAUUAAGUGCCCCGCCUGGGGAGUACGGCCGCAAGGCUAAA
rnacentral:rRNA from 1 species